UUAAGCGACUAAGCGUACACGGUGGAUGCCCUGGCAGUCAGAGGCGAUGAAGGACGUGCUAAUCUGCGAUAAGCGUCGGUAAGGUGAUAUGAACCGUUAUAACCGGCGAUUUCCGAAUGGGGAAACCCAGUGUGAUUCGUCACACUAUCAUUAACUGAAUCCAUAGGUUAAUGAGGCGAACCGGGGGAACUGAAACAUCUAAGUACCCCGAGGAAAAGAAAUCAACCGAGAUUCCCCCAGUAGCGGCGAGCGAACGGGGAGCAGCCCAGAGCCUGAAUCAGUGUGUGUGUUAGUGGAAGCGUCUGGAAAGGCGCGCGAUACAGGGUGACAGCCCCGUACACAAAAAUGCACAUGCUGUGAGCUCGAUGAGUAGGGCGGGACACGUGGUAUCCUGUCUGAAUAUGGGGGGACCAUCCUCCAAGGCUAAAUACUCCUGACUGACCGAUAGUGAACCAGUACCGUGAGGGAAAGGCGAAAAGAACCCCGGCGAGGGGAGUGAAAAAGAACCUGAAACCGUGUACGUACAAGCAGUGGGAGCACAGAGCAAUCUGUGUGACUGCGUACCUUUUGUAUAAUGGGUCAGCGACUUAUAUUCUGUAGCAAGGUUAACCGAAUAGGGGAGCCGAAGGGAAACCGAGUCUUAACUGGGCGUUAAGUUGCAGGGUAUAGACCCGAAACCCGGUGAUCUAGCCAUGGGCAGGUUGAAGGUUGGGUAACACUAACUGGAGGACCGAACCGACUAAUGUUGAAAAAUUAGCGGAUGACUUGUGGCUGGGGGUGAAAGGCCAAUCAAACCGGGAGAUAGCUGGUUCUCCCCGAAAGCUAUUUAGGUAGCGCCUCGUGAAUUCAUCUCCGGGGGUAGAGCACUGUUUCGGCAAGGGGGUCAUCCCGACUUACCAACCCGAUGCAAACUGCGAAUACCGGAGAAUGUUAUCACGGGAGACACACGGCGGGUGCUAACGUCCGUCGUGAAGAGGGAAACAACCCAGACCGCCAGCUAAGGUCCCAAAGUCAUGGUUAAGUGGGAAACGAUGUGGGAAGGCCCAGACAGCCAGGAUGUUGGCUUAGAAGCAGCCAUCAUUUAAAGAAAGCGUAAUAGCUCACUGGUCGAGUCGGCCUGCGCGGAAGAUGUAACGGGGCUAAACCAUGCACCGAAGCUGCGGCAGCGACGCUGAUGCGUUGUUGGGUAGGGGAGCGUUCUGUAAGCCUGUGAAGGUGUGCUGUGAGGCAUGCUGGAGGUAUCAGAAGUGCGAAUGCUGACAUAAGUAACGAUAAAGCGGGUGAAAAGCCCGCUCGCCGGAAGACCAAGGGUUCCUGUCCAACGUUAAUCGGGGCAGGGUGAGUCGACCCCUAAGGCGAGGCCGAAAGGCGUAGUCGAUGGGAAACAGGUUAAUAUUCCUGUACUUGGUGUUACUGCGAAGGGGGGACGGAGAAGGCUAUGUUGGCCGGGCGACGGUUGUCCCGGUUUAAGCGUGUAGGCUGGUUUUCCAGGCAAAUCCGGAAAAUCAAGGCUGAGGCGUGAUGACGAGGCACUACGGUGCUGAAGCAACAAAUGCCCUGCUUCCAGGAAAAGCCUCUAAGCAUCAGGUAACAUCAAAUCGUACCCCAAACCGACACAGGUGGUCAGGUAGAGAAUACCAAGGCGCUUGAGAGAACUCGGGUGAAGGAACUAGGCAAAAUGGUGCCGUAACUUCGGGAGAAGGCACGCUGAUAUGUAGGUGAAGUCCCUCGCGGAUGGAGCUGAAAUCAGUCGAAGAUACCAGCUGGCUGCAACUGUUUAUUAAAAACACAGCACUGUGCAAACACGAAAGUGGACGUAUACGGUGUGACGCCUGCCCGGUGCCGGAAGGUUAAUUGAUGGGGUUAGCGCAAGCGAAGCUCUUGAUCGAAGCCCCGGUAAACGGCGGCCGUAACUAUAACGGUCCUAAGGUAGCGAAAUUCCUUGUCGGGUAAGUUCCGACCUGCACGAAUGGCGUAAUGAUGGCCAGGCUGUCUCCACCCGAGACUCAGUGAAAUUGAACUCGCUGUGAAGAUGCAGUGUACCCGCGGCAAGACGGAAAGACCCCGUGAACCUUUACUAUAGCUUGACACUGAACAUUGAGCCUUGAUGUGUAGGAUAGGUGGGAGGCUUUGAAGUGUGGACGCCAGUCUGCAUGGAGCCGACCUUGAAAUACCACCCUUUAAUGUUUGAUGUUCUAACGUUGACCCGUAAUCCGGGUUGCGGACAGUGUCUGGUGGGUAGUUUGACUGGGGCGGUCUCCUCCUAAAGAGUAACGGAGGAGCACGAAGGUUGGCUAAUCCUGGUCGGACAUCAGGAGGUUAGUGCAAUGGCAUAAGCCAGCUUGACUGCGAGCGUGACGGCGCGAGCAGGUGCGAAAGCAGGUCAUAGUGAUCCGGUGGUUCUGAAUGGAAGGGCCAUCGCUCAACGGAUAAAAGGUACUCCGGGGAUAACAGGCUGAUACCGCCCAAGAGUUCAUAUCGACGGCGGUGUUUGGCACCUCGAUGUCGGCUCAUCACAUCCUGGGGCUGAAGUAGGUCCCAAGGGUAUGGCUGUUCGCCAUUUAAAGUGGUACGCGAGCUGGGUUUAGAACGUCGUGAGACAGUUCGGUCCCUAUCUGCCGUGGGCGCUGGAGAACUGAGGGGGGCUGCUCCUAGUACGAGAGGACCGGAGUGGACGCAUCACUGGUGUUCGGGUUGUCAUGCCAAUGGCACUGCCCGGUAGCUAAAUGCGGAAGAGAUAAGUGCUGAAAGCAUCUAAGCACGAAACUUGCCCCGAGAUGAGUUCUCCCUGACUCCUUGAGAGUCCUGAAGGAACGUUGAAGACGACGACGUUGAUAGGCCGGGUGUGUAAGCGCAGCGAUGCGUUGAGCUAACCGGUACUAAUGAACCGUGAGGCUUAACCUU
rnacentral:rRNA from 1 species